rnacentral:misc_RNA from 1 species
GCUACUACCGAUUGAAUGGUUUAGUGAGGACUCCUGAUUGGCGCCGCCGCCCCGGCAACGGAGCAGCGGACUGCCGAAAAGUUGUUCAAACUUGAUCAUUUAGAGGAAGUAAAAGUCGAACAAGGUUUCCGUAGGUGAACCUGCAGAAGGAUCAAGAACCGAAGAACGGCGGGUAGGGAAAGAGGGUAGGUCCCGGUGGUCGCCGUCUCAUUAAAAAAAAAAAAAACAUAUAGUAUAACAGACGAACUAACAACAAAUGUAGCGAUCUAUCUAG